GGGUUGUGAGGUUAAGCGACUAAGCGUACACGGUGGAUGCCCUGGCAGUCAGAGGCGAUGAAGGACGUGCUAAUCUGCGAUAAGCGUCGGUAAGGUGAUAUGAACCGUUAUAACCGGCGAUUUCCGAAUGGGGAAACCCAGUGUGUUUCGACACACUAUCAUUAACUGAAUCCAUAGGUUAAUGAGGCGAACCGGGGGAACUGAAACAUCUAAGUACCCCGAGGAAAAGAAAUCAACCGAGAUUCCCCCAGUAGCGGCGAGCGAACGGGGAGCAGCCCAGAGCCUGAAUCAGUGUGUGUGUUAGUGGAAGCGUCUGGAAAGGCGCGCGAUACAGGGUGACAGCCCCGUACACAAAAAUGCACAUACUGUGAGCUCGAUGAGUAGGGCGGGACACGUGGUAUCCUGUCUGAAUAUGGGGGGACCAUCCUCCAAGGCUAAAUACUCCUGACUGACCGAUAGUGAACCAGUACCGUGAGGGAAAGGCGAAAAGAACCCCGGCGAGGGGAGUGAAAAAGAACCUGAAACCGUGUACGUACAAGCAGUGGGAGCACGCUUCGGCGUGUGACUGCGUACCUUUUGUAUAAUGGGUCAGCGACUUAUAUUCUGUAGCAAGGUUAACCGAAUAGGGGAGCCGAAGGGAAACCGAGUCUUAACUGGGCGUUAAGUUGCAGGGUAUAGACCCGAAACCCGGUGAUCUAGCCAUGGGCAGGUUGAAGGUUGGGUAACACUAACUGGAGGACCGAACCGACUAAUGUUGAAAAAUUAGCGGAUGACUUGUGGCUGGGGGUGAAAGGCCAAUCAAACCGGGAGAUAGCUGGUUCUCCCCGAAAGCUAUUUAGGUAGCGCCUCGUGAAUUCAUCUCCGGGGGUAGAGCACUGUUUCGGCAAGGGGGUCAUCCCGACUUACCAACCCGAUGCAAACUGCGAAUACCGGAGAAUGUUAUCACGGGAGACACACGGCGGGUGCUAACGUCCGUCGUGAAGAGGGAAACAACCCAGACCGCCAGCUAAGGUCCCAAAGUCAUGGUUAAGUGGGAAACGAUGUGGGAAGGCCCAGACAGCCAGGAUGUUGGCUUAGAAGCAGCCAUCAUUUAAAGAAAGCGUAAUAGCUCACUGGUCGAGUCGGCCUGCGCGGAAGAUGUAACGGGGCUAAACCAUGCACCGAAGCUGCGGCAGCGACACUAUGUGUUGUUGGGUAGGGGAGCGUUCUGUAAGCCUGUGAAGGUGUGCUGUGAGGCAUGCUGGAGGUAUCAGAAGUGCGAAUGCUGACAUAAGUAACGAUAAAGCGGGUGAAAAGCCCGCUCGCCGGAAGACCAAGGGUUCCUGUCCAACGUUAAUCGGGGCAGGGUGAGUCGACCCCUAAGGCGAGGCCGAAAGGCGUAGUCGAUGGGAAACAGGUUAAUAUUCCUGUACUUGGUGUUACUGCGAAGGGGGGACGGAGAAGGCUAUGUUGGCCGGGCGACGGUUGUCCCGGUUUAAGCGUGUAGGCUGGUUUUCCAGGCAAAUCCGGAAAAUCAAGGCUGAGGCGUGAUGACGAGGCACUACGGUGCUGAAGCAACAAAUGCCCUGCUUCCAGGAAAAGCCUCUAAGCAUCAGGUAACAUUAAAUCGUACCCCAAACCGACACAGGUGGUCAGGUAGAGAAUACCAAGGCGCUUGAGAGAACUCGGGUGAAGGAACUAGGCAAAAUGGUGCCGUAACUUCGGGAGAAGGCACGCUGAUAUGUAGGUGAAGUCCCUCGCGGAUGGAGCUGAAAUCAGUCGAAGAUACCAGCUGGCUGCAACUGUUUAUUAAAAACACAGCACUGUGCAAACACGAAAGUGGACGUAUACGGUGUGACGCCUGCCCGGUGCCGGAAGGUUAAUUGAUGGGGUUAGCGGUAACGCGAAGCUCUUGAUCGAAGCCCCGGUAAACGGCGGCCGUAACUAUAACGGUCCUAAGGUAGCGAAAUUCCUUGUCGGGUAAGUUCCGACCUGCACGAAUGGCGUAAUGAUGGCCAGGCUGUCUCCACCCGAGACUCAGUGAAAUUGAACUCGCUGUGAAGAUGCAGUGUACCCGCGGCAAGACGGAAAGACCCCGUGAACCUUUACUAUAGCUUGACACUGAACAUUGAGCCUUGAUGUGUAGGAUAGGUGGGAGGCUUUGAAGUGUGGACGCCAGUCUGCAUGGAGCCGACCUUGAAAUACCACCCUUUAAUGUUUGAUGUUCUAACGUUGACCCGUAAUCCGGGUUGCGGACAGUGUCUGGUGGGUAGUUUGACUGGGGCGGUCUCCUCCUAAAGAGUAACGGAGGAGCACGAAGGUUGGCUAAUCCUGGUCGGACAUCAGGAGGUUAGUGCAAUGGCAUAAGCCAGCUUGACUGCGAGCGUGACGGCGCGAGCAGGUGCGAAAGCAGGUCAUAGUGAUCCGGUGGUUCUGAAUGGAAGGGCCAUCGCUCAACGGAUAAAAGGUACUCCGGGGAUAACAGGCUGAUACCGCCCAAGAGUUCAUAUCGACGGCGGUGUUUGGCACCUCGAUGUCGGCUCAUCACAUCCUGGGGCUGAAGUAGGUCCCAAGGGUAUGGCUGUUCGCCAUUUAAAGUGGUACGCGAGCUGGGUUUAGAACGUCGUGAGACAGUUCGGUCCCUAUCUGCCGUGGGCGCUGGAGAACUGAGGGGGGCUGCUCCUAGUACGAGAGGACCGGAGUGGACGCAUCACUGGUGUUCGGGUUGUCAUGCCAAUGGCACUGCCCGGUAGCUAAAUGCGGAAGAGAUAAGUGCUGAAAGCAUCUAAGCACGAAACUUGCCCCGAGAUGAGUUCUCCCUGACCCUUUAAGGGUCCUGAAGGAACGUUGAAGACGACGACGUUGAUAGGCCGGGUGUGUAAGCGCAGCGAUGCGUUGAGCUAACCGGUACUAAUGAACCGUGAG
rnacentral:rRNA from 1 species